rnacentral:rRNA from 1 species
GACGAACGCUGGCGGCGUGCUUAACACAUGCAAGUCGAACGGUGAAGCGCCUUCCUUUUUGGUGGGUGUGGAUGAGUGGCGAACGGGUGAGUAACACGUGAGUAACCUGCCCCCUUCUUCUGGAUAACCGCAUGAAAGUGUGGCUAAUACGGGAUAUUCUGGGUCUGUCGCAUGAUGGGUCUGGGAAAGAUAUUGUUUCGGUAGGGGAUGGGCUCGCGGCCUAUCAGCUUGUUGGUGGGGUGAUGGCCUACCAAGGCGGUGACGGGUAGCCGGCCUGAGAGGGUGGACGGUCACACUGGGACUGAGACACGGCCCAGACUCCUACGGGAGGCAGCAGUGGGGAAUAUUGCACAAUGGGCGCAAGCCUGAUGCAGCGACGCCGCGUGAGGGAUGGAGGCCUGCGGGUUGUGAACCUCUUUCGCCAGUGAAGCAGGCCUGCCUCGUUUGUGGGUGGGUUGACGGUAGCUGGAUAAGAAGCGCCGGCUAACUACGUG